GGUCAAGAAUAAAAGGGCAUACGGUGGAUGCCUUGGCGCUAUGGGCCGAAGAAGGGCGCGGUAAGCUGCGAAAAGCUACGGGGAGCUGCAAGCAAGCCUUGAUCCGUAGAUACCCGAAUGGGGCAACCCGGCGGAGCAAACCUCCGUCACCCUAUGCUGAACACAUAGGCAUAGAGGAGGGCACCCGGGGAACUGAAACAUCUAAGUACCCGGAGGAAAAGAAAGAAACAUCGAACCCCUCAGUAGCGGCGAGCGAACAGGGGCGAGCCUAAACCAGAUUUCUUCGGAAAUCUGGGGUUGCGGGACCCUCAUCACGUGAAGACUAGACCUAGCCGAAGACACCUGGAAAGGUGCUGCGCAGAAGGUAAAACACCUGUAGGCGAAAGGUCGAAAUUUGCAGAGGAAAUCCCAAGUACCGCAGGACACGUGAAACCCUGUGGGAAUCCGGGGGGACCACCCCCCAAGGCUAAAUACCCAUAGCGACCGAUAGUGAACAAGUACCGUGAGGGAAAGGUGAAAAGCACCCCGGGAGGGGAGUGAAAAAGAACCUGAAACCGUAUGCUUACAAGCUGUCAGAGCACGGUUAAAGUGUGAUGGCGUACUUUUUGUAGAACGGACCGGCGAGUUACAUCUAACGUGCAGGUUAAGUUUAAAAAGACGGAGCCAUAGCGAAAGCGAGUCUUAAUAGGGCGCAAUGUACGUUGGAGUAGACCCGAAACCUGGUGAUCUACCCAUGUCCAGAGUGAAGCUUUAGUAAAAUAAAGUGGAGGCUCGAACCGACCUUCGUUGAAAAGGAGGCGGAUGAGGUGUGGGUAGGGGUGAAAUGCCAAUCGAACCAGGAGAUAGCUGGUUCUCCCCGAAAUAGCUUUAGGGCUAGCCUCGGUUUGAGGUAUACGGAGGUAGAGCACUGAAUGGGCUAGGGGCCUUCACGGGUUACCGAACCCAAUCAAACUCCGAAUGCCGUAAUACCAUGACCGGGAGUCAGACUGCGGGUGCUAAGAUUCGUAGUCAAGAGGGAAACAGCCCAGACCAACAGCUAAGGUCCCCAAGACAUGCUAAGUGGAAAAGGAUGUGGGGUUGCAGAGACAACCAGGAUGUUGGCUUAGAAGCAGCCACCAUUUAAAGAGUGCGUAAUAGCUCACUGGUCAAGUGGCCCUGCGCCGAAAAUGAAACGGGGCUAAGCAUGACACCGAAGCUUUGGAUUCUCGAGGUUCGAUGUUCGAGAUUCGAUGUUCGGAACUUCGAAUAUCGAACUUCGAGAAUGGUAGGGGAGCGUUCCUAGUUCGUAGAAGUCGUACCGAAAGGAGCGGUGGAGGACUAGGAAGUGAGAAUGCCGGUAUGAGUAAGCGAAAAGGCAGGUGAGAAUCCUGCCCGCCGAAAACCUAAGGUUUUCUGGGGAAGGUUCGUCCGCCCAGAGUAAGUCGGGACCUAAGCCGAGGCCGCAAGGCGUAGGCGAUGGACAAUCGGUUGAGAAUCCGAUACCACCAAUAACCGUUUGAGGAUGGAGUGACGCAGGAGGGUAGGUUAAGCCAGCGGAUGGAAAAGCUGGUCCAAGCCAGUAGGGAGUGUGGUAGGCAAAUCCGCCACACAUAAUCCUGAGAGGUGACGGGGAGCGAAAAAUAGUAGCGAAGUAACUGAUCCCAAACUGCCAAGAAAAGCUUCUAACGAGGUAGAUUGGUGCCCGUACCGCAAACCGACACAGGUAGGUGGGGUGAAAAUCCUAAGGCGCGCGAGAGAACCCUCGUUAAGGAACUCGGCAAAAUGACCCCGUAACUUCGGGAGAAGGGGUGCCUCGUUAUCGUGAAAGAAAAGCUUCUGGAGCGAGAAGAGGCCGCAGAGAAAAGGCCCAAGCGACUGUUUACCAAAAACACAGGUCCCUGCUAAAGCGAAAGCUGACGUAUAGGGGCUGACGCCUGCCCGGUGCUGGAAGGUUAAGGGGAAAUGUUAGCGCAAGCGAAGCAUAGAACCGAAGCCCCAGUAAACGGCGGCCGUAACUAUAACGGUCCUAAGGUAGCGAAAUUCCUUGUCAGGUAAGUUCUGACCCGCACGAAAGGCGUAACGAUUUGGGCACUGUCUCAACGAGGGGCUCGGUGAAAUUGUAAUGACGGUGAAGAUGCCGUCUACCUGCGACAGGACAGAAAGACCCCGUGGAGCUUUACUGUAGCUUGACAUUGGGUUUUGGUAUUUGAUGUACAGGAUAGGUGGGAGACUUGGAAAUCGGGACGCCAGUUUCGAUGGAGUCGCCGUUGGGAUACCACCCUUUAGAUAUUGAAAUUCUAACUUAAUGCCUUGAAGCAGGUAUAAGGACAGUGUCAGGUGGGCAGUUUGACUGGGGCGGUCGCCUCCCAAAAGGUAACGGAGGCGCCCAAAGGUUCCCUCAGCGCGGACGGAAAUCGCGCGUUAGAGUGCAAAGGCAAAAGGGAGCUUGACAGCGAGACCAACAAGUCGAGCUGGUACGAAAGUAGGGCUUAGUGAUCCGGCGGUUCUGAGUGGAAGGGCCGUCGCUCAACGGAUAAAAGCUACCCCGGGGAUAACAGGCUUAUCUCCCCCAAGAGUCCACAUCGACGGGGAGGUUUGGCACCUCGAUGUCGGCUCAUCGCAUCCUGGGGCUGAAGUAGGUCCCAAGGGUUGGGCUGUUCGCCCAUUAAAGCGGUACGUGAGCUGGGUUCAGAACGUCGUGAGACAGUUCGGUCCCUAUCCGUCGCAGGCGCAGGAAACUUGAGAAGAGCUGUCCCUAGUACGAGAGGACCGGGAUGGACGGAUCACUGGAGUACCAGCUAUCGUGCCAACGGUAGCGCUGGGUAACUAUAUCCGGACGGGAUAAGUGCUGAAAGCAUCUAAGCACGAAGCCCCCUUCAAGAUGAGGUUUCCCACUACGCAAGUAGGUAAGAUCCCAUGCAGACUACGUGGUAGAUAGGCCGGGUGUGUAAGCACAGUAAUGUGUUGAGCUGACCGGUACUAAUAGAUCGAGGUCUUGACCAA
rfam:Desulfotomaculum ferrireducens strain GSS09, complete genome.